GCUGAACUGAUAGGCAGAUGGCUACAGUCUCUACACGAUUAGUGUCUGGGAUGGAUGAGUGAAAGUGGCUUCUCUCAAACAUGUCGCAUGGAAGAAAAACCACUAACAUACAAGACGUCUCCUGGUUAUGGGUGUGUGUUGACAAGAACCGAAGGGAAAAGACAAAGAGGCCGUGAGGAAGUUGUAAAACAGCCUGACGUGAACAUUAAGUCGCAGUGCAUCUGCCUGAGGACGGGCCUCCGUGUCUGCCACUGCACCAAACCGCUUCAGCGAGCAGAGCGCACAUGAUGACACAACUGUGCCAGGAGCUGUUUACUAAAGAAAACAUGAAUAAUGACAGGAACCGUCGAGGAAUCGUCCAGAGUGCAUGGGAAACAAGCAAGUGGGACAAAUUCAGCAGGAAAAGGUUGUCCCUGAGGAUUGGCCUCGUCACCCUAUUGACUACGCCAGGAUCCGCAUCUCCCACAAUCCUCUGGCUCUCCUCUGGUGGUGUCUUUCUUUAGCCCCGUUUUUGGAUGUUGGCAGGCAUGUAUCUUUUUGUUGGCAUUGCGACGCUGCAGCUGCGUGCCAGCUGUUUACGCCUCUUUGUCUUUCAGUUACACUGUGUUCCUUCUUCUCUUCCUCCUCUAGACACUGAUGAUGAACUGCUACAACUACUUGAACUACACUGGCACCCUCCCCCUUCCCAGAGUCUCUCCUCUUUUUCUCUUUGACAUGAAUUCCUGUGUGUUUUAAAUAAUUUCACUGCAUUUUCACUUGGAUCCAUCUCUAGACUUUUGGCAGCAGACACUUGCAGAAAUCAUAGUUAAUGCUCUUAACAUCAGCCGAUUAUCUGACUAUUAAUUGCAUUAGUUGCUAUUCUAAGAUCUUGAAUGAGCCCUGAUGUUAAUUAUAUUUUGGAUGCAUUUGAAUCUAGUGCCCAGGACUUUAUGUGAAAAAAGCCUCUAAAGAUUUAGAGAGAGUCAGAAAACAAAAAGCAGUAGCGAUUCUCGGCAGUGAACUGCCAAAAUAUGUCAGGAUUUGCAACUGACUUUGAAAACAUUUGAUCUGCUCAAAAAUUCUCAGAAGUGUGAAACUUAAAAUUUUGUUUUAGAUUUUGUCACAUUGCACGCCACGCUGGUUCAUUGUUUAAAUCAAAUCAGUAUGAAUCUGUCAAAUGAAUCUGUCAAAAAGUGAUGACGCUUUUUUUUUUUCUCGCAGUGCUCCAAAACAUGCAGUUUCCAGCUGAAAUGACCACUAUGCUCAUCAUUCAACAGUCA
ensembl:lncRNA